AUGCAAGUCGAGGGGUAGUUACUUUCGGGUAAUGAGACCGGCGCACGGGUGCGUAACGCGUAUGCAAUCUACCUUUUACAGGGGAAUAGCCCAGAGAAAUUUGGAUUAAUGCCCCAUAGUAUGUAUGAAUCGCAUGGUUUAUACAUUAAAGUUCCAACGGUAAAAGAUGAGCAUGCGUCCCAUUAGUUAGUUGGUAAGGUAACGGCUUACCAAGACGAUGAUGGGUAGGGGUCCUGAGAGGGAGAUCCCCCACACUGGUACUGAGACACGGACCAGACUCCUACGGGAGGCAGCAGUGAGGAAUAUUGGACAAUGGGCGCAAGCCUGAUCCAGCCAUGCCGCGUGCAGGAAGAAGCAUCUAUGGUGUGUAAACUGCUUUUGUACGGGAAGAAACACUCCUACGUGUAGGAGCUUGACGGUACCGUAAGAAUAAGGAUCGGCUAACUCCGUGCCAGCAGCCGCGGUAAUACGGAGGAUCCAAGCGUUAUCCGGAAUCAUUGGGUUUAAAGGGUCCGUAGGCGGUUUAAUAAGUCAGUGGUGAAAGCCCAUCGCUCAACGAUGGAACGGCCAUUGAUACUGUUAGACUUGAAUUACAAGGAAGUAACUAGAAUAUGUAGUGUAGCGGUGAAAUGCUUAGAUAUUACAUGGAAUACCAAUUGCGAAGGCAGGUUACUACUUGUGGAUUGACGCUGAUGGACGAAAGCGUGGGGAGCGAACAGGAUUAGAUACCCUGGUAGUCCACGCCGUAAACGAUGGAUACUAGCUGUUGGGCGCAAGUUCAGUGGCUAAGCGAAAGUGAUAAGUAUCCCACCUGGGGGAGUACGUUCGCAAGAAUGAAACUCAAAGGGAAUUGACGGGGGGCCCGCACAAGCGGUGGAGCAUGUGGGUUUAAUUUCGAUGAUACGCGGAGGAACCUUUACCAAGGCUUUAAAUGUAGAUUGACAGGACUGGAAACAGUUUUUUUUCUUUCAGACAAUUUACAAGGGUGCUGCAUGGGUUGUC
rnacentral:rRNA from 1 species